rnacentral:rRNA from 1 species
CCUACGGGAGGCAGCAGUGGGGAAUAUUGGACAAUGGGGGGAACCCUGAUCCAGCGACGCCGCGUGAGUGAAGAAGUCUUUCGGUAUGUAAAGCUCUAUCAGCAGGGAGGAAAGAAAUAACGUUACCUGACUAAGAAGCCCCGGCUAACUACGUGCCAGCAGCCGCGGUAAUACGUAGGGGGCAAGCGUUAUCCGGAUUUACUGGGUGUAAGGGGGGCGCAGACGGGAGCGCAAGCCAGGAGUGAAGGCCCGGGGCCCAACCCCGGGACUGCUCUUGGAACUGGGCGGCUGGAGUGCAGGAGGGGCAGGCGGAAUUCCUGGUGUAGCGGUGAAAUGCGUAGAUAUCAGGAGGAACACCGGUGGCGAAGGCGGCCUGCUGGACUGCGACUGACGUUGAGGCCCGAAAGCGUGGGGAGCAAACAGGAUUAGAUACCCGAGUAGUC